GUUAUAGCCAAGCGGUAAGGCACAGGGUUUUGAUCCCUGCAUUCGAAGGUUCGAAUCCUUCUAGC
rnacentral:tRNA from 1 species